UCAGCCCUGAGAAGUUUGUUGACUUUGGCAGAGAGUGAAUUCGUCCUUAACUUUGGUUUAGAGAGUUACACCAUCUGGUUGAGGACGUAAUGCAGUCUGCAGAAGACAGAAAGCACCAGGAAACUCUCUCUGGACCUUGUGAGGAGGAAAUGUCUCCAAGCAGCUAUAGCAACGACCUGAACUGCGGCCGCCGGCUAGAACACCUUGUUGGACUGUUGCAGCCUGAAAUCCACUCACAGCUCUUCCCAGCCCAUUACCCACCUUUCCCUUGGUGACAUGCCAUGGACUUGCUCCUUGAAAAUUGUCCACAUUCAAUACAAGUGAAACAAGGUGAUACUUCAUUGAUCUUACAGGGGACACAAAGAAGUCAGAGCACAGCAGGACACAGAAUACAAAGCUGGAGGGGAUUUCAUAUGUUUGUUAAGGACUCUCGAGUAAAAUGGAUUCUGGAUUUCAGGGCAGGGCAGACAUGCCCUCUAUGCAUUGCUGUUGCCCCAAAUCUUGAGAUGUGUCCUACAAGGCCUAAAAGCAACUACAGAGAAUCAUAAGUCCCAGCCACAGUUCAGCACUACACCCUGCACUCAGAGCCCCAAGAAUCCCACUUUUCCUUUUUAAAAUACUUUUUAUAUAACCUCACACUACACAUUGUAAUCUUUGCCACUACUCUUUUUUUCUUUUGAGCUCUGGUGGUGUAUAAAUAAUAAUGGGCUUUCUUCUUUGAA